rnacentral:rRNA from 1 species
UACGUAGGGAGCAAGCGUUGUCCGGAAUCAUUGGGCGUAAAGCGCGCGUAGGCGGCCUCAUAAGUCCGUUGUGAAAGUCAAAGGCUCAACCUUUGAAAGCCGAUGGAUACUGUGAGGCUAGAGUCCGGAAGAGGCGAGUGGAAUUCCUGGUGUAGCGGUGGAAUGCGCAGAUAUCAGGAGGAACACCAAUAGCGAAGGCAGCUCGCUGGGACGGUACUGACGCUAAGGCCCGAAAGCGUGGGGAGCGAACAGG